rnacentral:rRNA from 1 species
UACGAAGGGUGCAAGCGUUACUCGGAAUUACUGGGCGUAAAGCGUGCGUCGGCGGUUUGUUAAGUCUGUUGUGAAAGCCCCGGGCUCAACCUGGGAAUGGCAAUGGAUACUGGCAGGCUAGAGUGCGGUAGAGGGUAGUGGAAUUCCCGGUGUAGCGGUGAAAUGCGUAGAGAUCGGGAGGAACACCAGUGGCGAAGGCGGCUACCUGGACCAGCACUGACACUGAGGCACGAAAGCGUGGGGAGCAAACAGG